rnacentral:rRNA from 1 species
GACGAACGCUGGCGGCGUGCUUAACACAUGCAAGUCGAACGAAGUGGCGAACGGGUGAGUAAUACGUGGGUAACCUGCCCUCCUUUUUGGGAUAAGCCUUGGAAACGGGGUCUAAUACCGAAUACAGGGGGAUGGGCUCGCGGCCUAUCAGCUUGUUGGUGGGGUGAUGGCCUACCAAGGGGGUGACGGGUAGCCUGGCUGAGAGGGUGACCGGCAACAUUGGGACAGAGAUACGGCUCAGACUCGUACGGGAGGUAGCAGUGGGGGAAAUAGGACAAUGGGCGAAAGCGUGAUGCAGCGACUCCGCGUGGGGGAUGAAGGCUUUCGGGUUGUAAACCUAUGUGGCUAUCGAACGUGUAGGUGGGGAAGAAGCGCCGGCUAACUACGUGCCAGCAGCCGCGGUAAUUC